CCCUUAGGUGUUCUGGGCCGCACGCGCGCUACACUGAUGCAUUCAACGAGUCUAAAACCUGCUCUGAUAGGGGUGGGUAAUCUUUUGAAUGUGCAUCGUGAUUGGGAUAGAUGAUUGCAAUUUUUCAUCUUCAACGAGGAAUGCCUAGUAAACGCAAGUCAUCAGCUUGCAUUGAUUACGUCCCUGCCCUUUGUACACACCGCCCGUCGCUCCUACCGAUUGAAUGAUCCGAUGAAUAUCAUGGAUUGAGGAUGCAAGUAGGUUAGCCUAUCUUCAUCUUCGAGAAGUGAAGUAAAUCUUAUCAUUUAGAGGAAGGAGAAGUCGUAACA
rnacentral:rRNA from 1 species